rnacentral:rRNA from 1 species
UGGGGAAUUUUGCGCAAUGGGCGAAAGCCUGACGCAGCGACGCCGCGUGGAGGAUGAAGGCCCUUGGGUCGUAAACUCCUGUCGGGUGGGAAGAAAGCUCCAGGGUGAACAGCCCAGGAGACUGACUGUACCACCGGAGGAAGCCCCGGCUAACUCCGUGCCAGCAGCCGCGGUAAUACGGAGGGGGCAAGCGUUGUUCGGAAUCAUUGGGCGUAAAGGGCGCGUAGGCGGCCUGUCAAGUCAAGUGUGAAAUCCCUCGGCUCAACCGAGGAACCGCACUCGAUACUGUCGGGCUAGAGUCCGGGAGGGGAUGGUGGAAUUCCCAGUGUAGCGGUGAAAUGCGUAGAUAUUGGGAAGAACACCGGUGGCGAAGGCGGCCAUCUGGACCGGAACUGACGCUGAGGCGCGAAAGCUAGGGGAGCGAAUGGG